GCGGGUAUGGCGGAAUUGGUAGACGCACCAGAUUUAGGUUCUGGCGACGAGAGUUGUGGGGGUUCGAGUCCCUCUACCCGCACCA
rnacentral:tRNA from 24 species